AAAAAUACAAGGCAGGUUCACCUUCUUCUUCUCGUUUCAUAGCUUCAUUUACUCUAGGCGCUAUAGCCAUAGAGAACUGGUGGGUGUCGCGGCAAAGUCCCAAGAGGAGUUUGCUCUUGUCAUCGCAUCCGCUAUAAAGGUAUCUAUGAAGUCGUGAUUCAACAGCGAAUGAAGGAAAGCUUCAACGAUGAUGAUAUCUCUUAACGCUUACAUCGAAAGAGAGCUUGCCGAUAUUGUUCCAAGCGAAAACGCGGGGUGUCUCCUCCUCGGCGUAGAUUCGCACUCCGCGAGCGCAAAUUGCCAGGAGUAUGCGCCCCGGCCCCGCCUCGUUCUUACUCCGGCGCAACCGGUACAGAAAAUUAAAAAUCUCGAGAACUGGAAAUCUCUAGCUUACAUGGGGAGGAAGGUAAUCCGUGGAUUUGCAAUAGCCGACAGAUCCUGCAUGCGGUCUGUGACGUUCUUCGGAAUAAUCGCC